CUCCCCAGAUACGUGAAGCGU
rnacentral:miRNA from 1 species